AACACUGCAUCAGACAUAAACAACUGUCAGAUGUUGCUGAGACUUCUGAAGGGUACCCGUGAAUCAAGUAUGUACAAUUCUCAUUUAACUUUCGGAAGCAUGCUUUGCAAUGUCUUACGAUAUCUAAAAUCAUGAUGAAUUCAGGGUAUUCAUAAGUCCUCUAUUUUGAGCAUUUUUUUUUAUCAGUACACCAAAAUGUACUGAAGAUGCUGUCCAGUGUGCAAUUUAUGAGAGGAUAACUGGCGUUAUCCGCAAGCAAGCAAGCAGUUUAUUUUGGAGCAUAUUCUAAGAAACAAGAACAACUUCAUCAGAGACUUUCAAGGUGAGUAUGCGGGCGAAGUCGAUGGGAUCGAUCUCGUAACAAUCAUCGUCGGAAUCAUCCCCUUCUUCUUUGGCCUCCUCUAUCUUUACACUAUUCUUCUUGCUAUCCUUCUCUUCUUCCACGGUCGUCAUGCUCCUGGGGGGGGAAGGUAAGUGAGAGGUCAUGUUACUAAAAUAAUAGGUUCUAUUUGAUAUCUUAAUUUCUUCUGGAUAUUUUUAUAUUAGGGGUUGUUGAAAAGGUUGAGCAUACAAAUGUUCUUUUACUGGUGUGUUAUCGCAGGGUUUUGGAUGCGAUCAUUUCGUUAUUUCUUUUUAAUUUAUUUGGAGUCCGGUCAGGAUAGUUGUUAAUUAAUUAAGAUAUAUAAUUGUUUGCAGGCCCCCCACUCAUCUAUAAAAUAGGCGCCUCCACUUUUUCGGAA